rnacentral:rRNA from 1 species
UACGUAGGGGGCAAGCGUUGUCCGGAUUUAUUGGGCGUAAAGAGCGUGUAGGCGGCCCGAUAAGUCCGCCGUGAAAGUCCAGGGCUCAACCCUGGAAUGCCGGUGGAAACUGUCGGGCUGGAGUCCGGAAGAGGCGAGUGGAAUUCCUGGUGUAGCGGUGAAAUGCGUAGAUAUCAGGAGGAACACCAAUUGCGAAGGCAGCUCGCUGGGACGCUACUGACGCUGAGACGCGAAAGCGUGGGGGAGCAAACAGG